rnacentral:tRNA from 1 species
GGGGAGAUACUCAAGCGGCCAACGAGGGCAGACUGUAAAUCUGCUGACCCAGUCUUCGCAGGUUCGAAUCCUGCUCUCCCCA